rnacentral:rRNA from 1 species
ACCCUACGGGGCGCAGCAGUGGGGAAUAUUGGGCAAUGGAGGAAACUCUUACCCAGCAAUGCCGCGUGAGUGAAGAAGGUCUUCGGAUUGUAAAGCUCCUUGAUUGGGGAUGAAAAAAUGACGGUACCCAAAGAACAAGCCCCGGCUAACUACGUGCCAGCAGCCGCGGUAAUACGUAGGGGGCAAGCGUUAUCCGGAUUUACUGGGUGUCAAGGGGGCGCAGACGGCGAUGCAAGCCAGGAGUGAAAGCCC